GAGGUACUACGGUACUGGAUUUUAAUGCUUAUGUCUUCUGUCAUACUUAUUGUUUUUAAUGUGGGAUUAUGAUUUAUGUACUUUACUUCAACGACAAACCUAAGCCAUAAAAAAACAGUCUUGAGUUUGAGUUUAAUGUGAAAGACCUGCUACAGUGAAUUUCAGGACAUAUCCAAGCCAAGGUAUCAAACUCUAGCAAAGAGAAAAAAACUAAUUAUUUUUUGGGGAUAAAGAAUGCUAAAUGCUUUUAUUUAACAUGUGCUUUGCUUUCAG
rnacentral:lncRNA from 1 species